AUAAGAAUGACCUGGGGAAUCCUGUUAAAAUGCAGAUUCUAACUCAGUAGGCCUGAGGUGGGCCUGAGAGUCUGUAGUUCUAACACGUUCCCAGGUGAUGCUGAU
rnacentral:pre_miRNA from 1 species